GUCCAGCUGACGAGUCUCAAAGAGGACGAAACGCGCUUCCUGGAU
rnacentral:hammerhead_ribozyme from 2 species